AGUGAACGCUGGCGGUAGGCCUAACACAUGCAAGUCGAACGGCAGCACAGUAAGAGCUUGCUCUUACGGGUGGCGAGUGGCGGACGGGUGAGGAAUACAUCGGAAUCUACUUUUUCGUGGGGGAUACGUAGGGAAACUUACGCUAAUACCGCAUACGACCUACGGGUGAAAGCAGGGGAUCUUCGGACCUUGCGCGAUUGAAUGAGCCGAUGUCGGAUUAGCUAGUUGGCGGGGUAAGGGCCCACCAAGGCGACGAUCCGUAGCUGGUCUGAGAGGAUGAUCAGCCACACUGGAACUGAGACACGGUCCAGACUCCUACGGGAGGCAGCAGUGGGGAAUAUUGGACAAUGGGCGCAAGCCUGAUCCAGCCAUACCGCGUGGGUGAAGAAGGCCUUCGGGUUGUAAAGCCCUUUUGUUGGGAAAGAAAAGCAGCAGGUUAAUACCCCGCUGUUCUGACGGUACCCAAAGAAUAAGCACCGGCUAACUUCGCG
rnacentral:rRNA from 1 species